rnacentral:rRNA from 1 species
AGCGAACGCUGGCGGCAGGCUUAACACAUGCAAGUCGAACGCCCCGCAAGGGGAGUGGCAGACGGGUGAGUAACACGUGGGAACGUACCCUUUGGUUCGGAAUAACUUGGGGAAACUCAAGCUAAUACCGGAUAAGCCCUUAUGGGGAAAGGUUUACUGCCGAAGGAUCGGCCCGCGUCUGAUUAGCUAGUUGGUGAGGUAAUGGCUAACCAAGGCGACGAUCAGUAGCUGGUCUGAGAGGAUGAUCAGCCACACUGGGACUGAGACACGGCCCAGACUCCUAUGGGAGGCAGCAGUGGGGAAUAUUGGACAACGGGGGCAACCCUGAUCCAGCCAUGCCGCGUGAGUGAUGAAGGCCUUAGGGUUGUAAAGCUCUUUUACCCGGGACGAUAAUGACUGUACCGGGAGAAUAAGCCCCGGCUAACUUCGUGCCAGCAGCCGCGGUAA